GGNGCUCUCCCAUAUGGUCGACCUGCAGGCGGCCGCGAAUUCACUAGUGAUUAGAGUUUGAUCCUGGCUCAGAUUGAACGCUGGCGGCGUGCUUAACACAUGCAAGUCGAACGUGAAAGUCCUUCGGGGCGAGUAAAGUGGCGCACGGGUGAGUAACGCGUGGAUAAUCUACCCUUAAGAUGGGGAUAACGGCUGGAAACGGUCGCUAAUACCGAAUACGCUCCCGAUUUUAUCGUUGGGGGGAAAGAUGGCCUCUGCUUGCAAGCUAUCGCUUAAGGAUGAGUCCGCGUCCCAUUAGCUAGUUGGCGGGGUAACGGCCCACCAAGGCGACGAUGGGUAGCCGGUCUGAGAGGAUGACCGGCCACACUGGAACUGGAACACGGCCCAGACUCCUACGGGAGGCAGCAGUGGGGAAUAUUGCGCAAUGGGCGAAAGCCUGACGCAGCGACGCCGCGUGAGGGAUGAAGCUUCUCGGAUCGUAAACCUCUGUCAGGGGGGAAGAAACCCCCUCGUGUGAAUAAUGCGAGGGCUUGACGGUACCCCCAAAGGAAGCACCGGCUAACUCCGUGCCAGCAGCCGCGGUAAUACGGAGGGUGCAAGCGUUAAUCGGAAUCACUGGGCGUAAAGCGCACGUAGGCGGCUUGGUAAGUCAGGGGUGAAAUCCCACAGCCCAACUGUGGAACUGCCUUUGAUACUGCCAGGCUUGAGUACCGGAGAGGGUGGCGGAAUUCCAGGUGUAGGAGUGAAAUCCGUAGAUAUCUGGAGGAACACCGGUGGCGAANGCGGCCACCUGGACGGUAACUGACGCUGANGUGCGAAAGCGUGGGUAGCAAACAGGANUAGAUACCCUGNUAGUCCACGCUGUAAACGAUGGGUGCUGGGUGCUGGGAUGUAUGUCUCGGUGCCGUAGCUAACGCGAUAAGCACCCCGCCNGGGGAGUANGGUCGCAAGGCUGAAACUCAANA
rnacentral:rRNA from 1 species